AAUAUUGGACAAUGGGGGCAACCCUGAUCCAGCCAUGCCGCGUGUGUGAAGAAGGUCUUCGGUUUGUAAAGCACUUUCAGUUGUGAGGAAGGGCUUUAGGCUAAUACCCUGAAGUUUUGACGUUACCAACAGAAUAAGCACCGUCUAACUCUGUGCCGGCAGCCGCGGUAAUACAUAUGGUGCAAGCGUCAAUCGGAAUUCUUGGGCGUAAAGCGCGCGUAGGUGGUUCAGUAAGAUGGGUGUGAAAUCCCCGGGCUUAACCUGGGAACUGCUUUCAUAACUGCUGAGCUAGAGUACGGUAGAGGGUAGUGGAAUUUCCUGUGUAGCGAUGAAAUGCGUAGAUAUAGGAAGGAACACCAGUGGCGAAGGCGACUACCUGGACUGAUACUGACACUGAGGUGCGAAAGCGUGGGGAGCAAAC
rnacentral:rRNA from 1 species